rnacentral:rRNA from 1 species
UACGUAAGGGGCAAGCGUUGUCCGGAAUCACUGGGCGUAAAGCGCACGUAGGCGGUUUGCCAAGUUGGGGGUGUAAGCUCUAGGCUUAACCUAGAAAUUGCCUCCAAAACUAGCAUACUUGAGUAUUAGAGGGGAAGCUGGAAUUCACGGUGUAGCGGUGAAAUGCGUAGAUAUCGUGGAGAACACCCGUGGCGAAGGCGGGCUUCUGGCUAAUUACUGACGCUGAGGUGCGAAAGCUAGGGGAGCGAACGGG